rnacentral:rRNA from 1 species
GAAUUUUCCAAUGUCCGACAGGAUGAGAAAGGAAUCCAAAGUGUUUCUCUUAGAGAAACUUUUGCUUACUAUAAAAAGGUAGGAGAAUAAGGACUGGGUAAGACUGGUGCCAGCCGCCGCGGUAAUCCCAGCAGUCCAAGUCGCAGCCACAUUUAUUAGGUCUAAAACAUUCGUAGCUUGCUAAUUAAGUUCUUUGUGAAAUCGUUAUGCUUAACGUAACGGCGUGCAGGGAAUACUGGUUAGCUAGAGAUUGGGAGAUGUAACGAGUACGUUUGAGGUAGUGGUAAAAUAUUUUAAUCUCAAACGGACUAACGAUGGCGAAGGCACGUUACAAGAACAAUUCUGACGGUCAGGAAUGAAGGCUGGGGGCGCAAAAUGG